UCCAAAUUCAGGGUGGCAUUGGUUGAGUGUGCUACCCUGAUUUUUGGUGUAUGCUUUGGCAAUUUCUCGAGAUUGAAAGAAAUUUAUGUUUUCUUUAUCGGGUGUUGAAAAUAAAAUAUUUAUCAUAAAUUAAAAAAUGAUUUUAAAAAUUACGAAAUAUUAGAAUAAAAUGAUCUAUUUAACUUUCAAUAAAUAUUAUAAUAAAAUGGUGCUUAAUAAAAAUAGAGAGAUUUUUGAAAAUCUUGCAACAUAUGAGUUUAUACCGUGGGAUUUAAAUCUCGUGAUAUUUGUCACAGAAUCAAAUUCUGCUUUUCUUGUUCUAUCUCAGAUUAUUUUCUCAAAGUAGCUGUUCACAUGAAACUCAUCUGCUUCUGUUUCCACUUUCAGGAAGUGAGCCCGGGCUUUUUCAAACUGCCCCAUAGAUCCUCUACAAGGAGGGAUGAUCGAAGAAGUCUGGAGAGAGAUUUCUCUUUCUUAAUUUUAUAUGAGGGACUAGAGAAUAGGUGCUCUAGAGAGAGAGAGAGAGAGAGAGAGAGAGAGAGAGAGAGAGAUUUUCUAUUGGUAAUGAUAAAUUCUAUUAAAAGAGAGGAAGAUACAAAUAAUACAAGGAUAGCAGCUAUUGGCGAAGACUGUUGUGGAUGCAUUUCUUUCUUGUGUAGGGGAUUUUCUACGUUGUUAGA